GGAUGCGAUCAUACCAGCACUAAUGCACCGGAUCCAUCAGAACUCCGAAGUUAAGCGUGCUUGGGCGAGAGUAGUACUAGGAUGGGUGACCCCCUGGAAGUCCUCGUGUUGCAUCCC
rnacentral:rRNA from 1 species